AUCUGUGUUUGUGAAUUAUUUUAAGAGCUAUAUGAAGGCUGGGAAAAUUUUUCUUUGAGGUCUCUCACAAACCAGGAUAUAUUCUUGCACCGUUCGAUUUAAUGUUAAGAGAGUCCAUGUGAGGACAUGAGAAGAUGACCAUCUAUAAACAGGAAGAGACAUCUCACCAGAAGCCAACCCGAAGGCCCUUUUGAUCUUGAACUUCUAGCUUCCCAAACUGUUCCUGCUGAACAGAGAAGUUGCUGCAACAGCUAUAGCUUCAGAACAAUGUCACCUCUGCUACAAUCCACACCAGCAAAUGGAUGUGUGUGUUCUGCUUGCCUUUCUGCAACUUAUCUCCCCUCAGAAGUCAAGUCUCUCCUAAGUAUGUCUAAUAAAAAAAUGAAAACAUA